rnacentral:rRNA from 1 species
AGAGUGAACGCUGGCGGUAGGCCUAACACAUGCAAGUCGAACGGCAGCACAGUGGUAGCAAUACCAUGGGUGGCGAGUGGCGGACGGGUGAGGAAUACAUCGGAAUCUACCUUUUCGUGGGGGAUAACGUAGGGAAACUUACGCUAAUACCGCAUACGCCCUUCGGGGGAAAGCCGGGGAUCGCAAGACCUGGCGCGGAUAGAUGAGCCGAUGUCGGAUUAGCUAGUUGGUGAGGUAAUGGCUCACCAAGGCGACGAUCCGUAGCUGGUCUGAGAGGAUGAUCAGCCACACUGGAACUGAGACACGGUCCAGACUCCUACGGAGGCAGCAGUGGGGAAUAGUUGGACAAGUGGGCGCAAGCCGUGAUCCAGCCAUACCGCGUGGGUGAAGAAGGCCGUUCGGUUGUAAAGUCCCUUUUAGGUUA